UUUAGGAAGAGAAUUUCCUGUAAAGGUUGAGGAAAGAGAGAAAGAGUGAAGAGCAGAAAAAAGUUCUUCACCAUCAGCAGAGCAUUGACAUAGCAGGUGCUCCACAGGAAGCAGAACAGGACUGUCACUGUUGCAAGUGCAUUGGCCCGGAAGGAUGACCACAAUAUAUGUGUGCCCUGACAGCCAACAGGCAAACUUCAUUUUGGGAUGCAUUAAAGACAACAUAGCCAGCCAGUCAAGAGGAUGGCCUUUCUUAGGAUGGAUGCCUUUCUCCCACUGAGAGAUAAACAACCUAAAUAGGGGUGACUCCUGUAUUACCAUCUCACUCUGUGAGUUGAUUUUGAAGUAAUUGAAUUAGAGCUUGAACUAAACUACAGAACUAGAACAAGGCUAUUUUAAUUUGUA